rnacentral:rRNA from 1 species
AUUCGUCCAAGUGAAGUAGAGGACAGUGGCGGACGGGUGAGUAACGCGUGAGGAACCUGCCUUUCAGAGGGGGACAACAGUUGGAAACGACUGCUAAUACCGCAUAAGCGCACAGCAUCGCAUGAUGCAGUGUGAAAAACUCCGGUGGUAUAAGAUGGACCCGCGUUGGAUUAGCUAGUUGGUGAGGUAACGGCCCACCAAGGCGACGAUCAGUAGCCGGACUGAGAGGUUGAACGGCCACAUUGGGACUGAGAUACGGCCCAGACUCC